UACUGUUGGUGAUGAUUGGUUUUUAAGCAAUGGGAAUCUCUCUGAAAGAGGAUGAGGAGGACUCUUAAACUGAAACAGUA
rnacentral:snoRNA from 1 species